rnacentral:rRNA from 1 species
AUUGAACGCUGGCGGCAUGCUUUACACAUGCAAGUCGAACGGUAACAGGCCUUCGGGUGCUGACGAGUGGCGAACGGGUGAGUAAUGCAUCGGAACGUACCCAGAGGUGGGGGAUAACGCAGCGAAAGCUGUGCUAAUACCGCAUGUGAUCUGAGGAUGAAAGCGGGGGACCGAGCAGCAAUGUUUGGCCUCGCGCCUUUGGAGCGGCCGAUGUCGGAUUAGCUAGUUGGUGGGGUAAAGGCCUACCAAGGCGACGAUCCGUAGCUGGUCUGAGAGGACGACCAGCCACACUGGGACUGAGACACGGCCCAGACUCCUACGGGAGGCAGCAGUGGGGAAUUUUGGACAAUGGGCGCAAGCCUGAUCCAGCAAUGCCGCGUGCGGGAAGAAGGCCUUCGGGUUGUAAACCGCUUUUGGCAGGAACGAAACGGUGUCCGCUAAUACCGGGCGCUAAUGUCGGUACCUGCAGAAUAAGCACCGGCUAACUACGUG